AUUUUGUUUUUCUUCUAAAAAUUUUUCCCAUGAUCUUUGGCCCUUUGGGUCAAACUCAAAUGUUUGCCUUUCUCUCCUCUCCUUUUAUAUACUAAAUCCCAUAUUGAGUUCCAGCAAGGCUUUCUCUCUCUCUAUGUUGUGCAUGGAUAUUGGAUAGAUAGAUUGACAGUCGUUGUUUGCGGGUGUAGCAUCAUCAAGAUUCACAUGCAAAUGCACGGUGGUGGUGAUGGAUAAUACAAACUCUCUUCUUUUUUUCUCCCCUUCCCCUUUCUUUUCCCUUCUCCUUUAUGCCAAAGUUGUUUGGAAAGUGAGAAUCUUGAUGAUGCUGCAUCGGCAAUAAACGACUAUACAAAAGACCCUUUCUUUCUCUCAGUUUCAAAGUACAGUGUGCCACUUUGCACACUUCGAAAUCAUAACAUCAACAACCAAAAAAAAAAAAAAAAGAUGAUUCUCUCUUGGCAAAGGUUUCUCCCCCCCUUUCUCUGUUGUUGUCAGGGUAAGGUAGCCAUAACAAAUAGUGUCUACUAGGCUGUUUCAAAAGGACUUUGACUUGCAGAUCUAUGAUUAUUCUUCUGAGCCAGAUAUAUACUGCUGCAGUGGAAAUGGGUACUUUUUCAUGGAGAAGGGACUUUGCCCAGGAACUUAAAAGAAAAAAAAAAAAGAAGAUAGAGCCUUUGACAUAAGCUGUUGAGAGGAUAUCUCAAAAAGAUAGGCAAAGGAGCAAUCUUCCCUGUAAGGUUGGUACUGGUUUUCUAAUGAGCUUCCAUGAAGGCCAGCUAGGUGUUGGGUUGGCUUCCAGGAGAGACUGCAAACUCUAAAAGAAAAGGUGAGAGAGAAAUGAGGUGAUUUCGAUUUGUUUUGUUUUAUGGGAUUUGAUGAUAUCAGCUAAAUAGCUUACUGCAAGUUUUUUUGGUUCUUCCCACCACCUUUGUCUUCACUAGAAGAAAAGAUUUCAAAACA